CCCUGGUGAUUCAGAUGGUAAAAAAUCUGCCUGUAAUGCAGGAGACCCGGGUUUGAUUCCUGGACUGGGAA
rnacentral:tRNA from 1 species